UUGACAGAUGAACAAAAAUCCCGAAUCCAGGCUAUGAAGCCAAUGACAAAGGAAGAAUGGGACGCAAGGCAGAGUGUCAUAAGGAGAGUCGUGGAUCCCGAAACGGGGAGAACCAGGCUUAUUAAGGGAGACGGAGAAGUACUAGAAGAAAUUGUCAGCAAGGAGAGACACAAGGAGAUUAACAAGCAAGCCACCCGGGGGGACGGGCUGGCCUUCCAGGUGAGGACGGGGAUGCUGCAGUGAGCGCGCAAGCGCCAGCCAUGCCGGGAGCCUGUCCUGCUGCUGGCGCCAGCCCAGGCGUGAGCCUCUGUCUCUGGAUCACGUAGACGGCACUGCGUCAGGAUUCUUCCCCAGGGGCAGUUUCCAGCCGCUCUGUAAGUUAUUGACUGGGAAGGAGAGCAACUUUAAUAGUUCAUCUCCCAGUAAACAGCUUCUCCCCUCCCUCUCCUGACUGGGGCCAGCGUGGCUGUAACGCACUUGGACCUGCUUGCCCCGAUGCCCCUCUCGAGGCCGGAGGAGCUCAGCAGCACCCAGGGGACAGGCUCGCUGGUGUUGAGCACCUAGCGGUGCUGCUGCCCCUCAGCUCUGGGCUUUGGUGGGCAGGAGCCAGCGCUGUGGCCAGGACAGGGUAUGUGCUGGGGCUGCAAAAUAUGCAGCUGGAUGCCACUUCUUCCCUUCAGGGGCUGCUCUUGGCCCCUUCCUUGCUGGAUCUGCAUGCCCCGUGCUUACCUGGUGCUGCAGGCUCGUGGGCCCUUUGCACUCACCCACCCGGCUCAGAGAGGAGCGGCUGUGCCGCUGCGUGGCUCUGCUCAGGCUGCAGCUCUCCUCUGCAACUUCAAGUGCCACCCUCCGCUGUGCCCCAGGAGCUUUACUCAGCUUUUCUGCAGCUUCAUCUUGUCGGGUGGCGCUGGGGGAGCACAGCCCCGGCACACCGCACUGGGGUGCGGGCAGGCGUGCUUUGCAGAAGGGUGGCUUUGCCUUGCCGUCUGUUCCUGCAUGCGACUUGUGUCCCUUCCCCACAGCGCAGGCUCCGGGCAGCGUUAGGGUUCUGGGCUUCUCAGGACCCGUGCCCAUGGCCGCUGUGAAGCAAACAGCUGGCCUUUCCCCCACUGCAAAGCCCAUAAAUCGACAGACUGGGAGGGGAAAAAAAAAAAAAGGACAAACGGGUCCUGCAGGACGGAUCUGCGCGGAGGGGCUCCACGUUCUGUUCAUCGCUGUAACCCCAUUAAACUGGCGCCUGCUCA